GAAGAGCGAAAAGAUGCUCAGAGACAACUUUCUCAAGAGCAGAAUGCCAGAGUAAAAGAAGAUGAAAUCCUGGCCCAUCAUCUUUCCCAACAAAAGGAGGCAGAAAAGGCUAAUAAGAAAAUGAAUGCUGAGCCCACAAAGGAUUUUGAGAUGUCUGA